CCUACGGGAGGCAGCAGUGAGGAAUAUUGCUCAAUGGGCGCUAGCCUGAACCAGCCAAGUAGCGUGAAGGAUGACUGCCCUAUGGGUUGUAAACUUCUUUUGUAGGGGGAUAAAGUGCAGUAUGUAUACUGCUUUGCAUGUACCUUAUGAAUAGGGAACGGCUAACUCCGUGCCAGCCGCCGCGGUAAUACGGAGGAUACGAGCGUUAUCCGGAUUUAUUGGGUUUAAAGGGAGCGCAGGCGGGUUGUUAAGUCAGUUGUGAAAGUUUGCGGCUCAACCGUAGAAUUGCAGUUGAUACUGGCAUCCUUGAGUACAGUAGAGGUAGGCGGAAUUCGUGGUGUAGCGGUGAAAUGCGUAGAUAUCACGAAGAACACCGAUUGCGAAGGCAGCCUGCUGGACUGUAACUGACGCUGAGGCGCGAAAGUGUGGGUAUCAAACAGGAUUAGAUACCCGUGUAGUC
rnacentral:rRNA from 1 species